rnacentral:rRNA from 1 species
GUAGGUGGCAAGCGUUGUCCGGAAUUAUUGGGCGUAAAGCGCGCGCAGGCGAUUCUUUAAGUCUGAUGUGAAAGCCCACGGCUCAACCGUGGAGGGUCAUUGGAAACUGGAGAACUUGAGUACAGAAGAGGAAAGCGGAAUUCCACGUGUAGCGGUGAAAUGCGUAGAGAUGUGGAGGAACACCAGUGGCGAAGGCGGCUUUCUGGUCUGUAACUGACGCUGAGGCGCGAAAGCGUGGGGGAGCAAACAGGAUUAGAUACCCUGGUAGUCCACGCCGUAAACGAUGAGUGCUAAGUGUUAGGGGGUUUCCGCCCCUUAGUGCUGCAGCUAACGCAUUAAGCACUCCGCCUGGGAGUACGGCCGCAAGGCUG